rnacentral:rRNA from 1 species
CCUACGGGAGGCAGCAGUGGGGAAUAUUGCACAAUGGGGGAAACCCUGAUGCAGCGACGCCGCGUGAGUGAAGAAGUAAUUCGUUAUGUAAAGCUCUAUCAGCAGGGAAGAAAAUGACGGUACCUGAGUAAGAAGCCCCGGCUAACUACGUGCCAGCAGCCGCGGUAAGACGUAGGGGGCAAGCGUUAUCCGGAUUUACUGGGUGUAAAGGGAGCGUAGACGGCAGUUCAAGUCUGGAGUGAAAGGCGGGGGCUCAACCCCCGGACUGCUCUGGAAACUGUACGGCUGGAGUGCAGGAGAGGUAAGUGGAAGUCGUAGUGUAGCGGUGAAAUGCGUAGAUAUUAGGCGGAACACCAGUGGCGAAGGCGGCUUACUGGACUGUAACUGACGUUGAGGCUCGAAAGCGUGGGGAGCAAACAGGAUUAGAUACCCGUGUAGUC